GCUGCGCCCGCGGGGGCCGGGCUCGUACCUCUCGCACUUGGUGAACUUGCGGAAGGCCUGGCGCAGGUCGUGGAAGGAGCGGCGCUGCUCCAGCUCGCGGAUCCUCUCCUCCUUCAGUAGCAGCAGCUUGGCGAAGUCGCCCUCCAGCUCGCUCAUGGUGCCGGGCUGCUCGUGUGUGUGGAAUAGCAGCCUAGCUGGUUGCACCGGAAAGGCCUGAUCACCAGCGCUGCAACUUGGAUGCCCUCAGACACCAGAAUACGAAGCUUCAGAGGCAAGGCUGGAAUUGGUGUGCCCUCACCAGCCAAAAGACAACCAACACAAAGGUGUUAAGUGCAAAAUGCUACUGAUGACUUCAGCUGCCUGCUGACCACCUCCAAUGGUACUGCAACCUCAACCAAGCAGCUGCCGGUUUUAAGAUAAAGCAUCUUGCCCCUGAAGCAGAGAAGAGCAAGCAGAGGAAGGAAGAGGAGAGAAAUCCUGGCCAACGGCCUAACCUCCUUUGCAAAAAGAACUGCAACUUCUGCAGACAGGUCUGUGGCUCAAGGAUUGGAUUCUUAAGUCACUUCAAGACCCAUCAAUAG